rnacentral:rRNA from 1 species
GAAUCCAUCCGUCGGUCGGGCUUUACGGUCCGCACUGGUGUGAUGGAUUCCUACCUUCCGAAUAACCAGCAUGUCAUUAAUUUGGUGCGUUGGGGAAGCAGGACUGUUACCUCGAAAAAAUUAGAGUGCUUAAAGCAGGCUAGUGCCUGAAUACAUUAGCAUGGAAUAAUGAAAUAGGACGGCAUGGUUCUAUUUUGUUGGUUUCUAGAGUCGCCGUA